GAAAUGCGAUAAGUAAUGUGAAUUGCAGAAUUCAGUGAAUCAUCGAAUCUUUGAACGCACAUUGCGCCCGCCAGUAUUCUGGCGGGAAUGCCUGUCCGAGCGUCAUUUCAACCAUCAAGCCCCCGGGCUUGUGUUGGGGACCUGCGGCUGCCCGCAGGCCCUGAAAACCAGUGGCGGGCUCGCUGUCACACCGAGCGUAGUAGCAAUCACCUCGCUCAGGGCGUGCUGCGGGUUCCGGCCGUUAAACAGCCUUACAAAACCCAAGGUUGACCUCGGAUCAGGUAGGAAGACCCGCUGAACUUAAGC
rnacentral:misc_RNA from 1 species